rnacentral:rRNA from 1 species
CAGCAGCCACGGGAAUACAGAGGGUGCAAGCGUUAAUCGGAAUUACUGGGCGUAAAGCGCGCGUAGGUGGUUUGUUAAGUUGGAUGUGAAAUCCCCGGGCUCAACCUGGGAACUGCAUCCAAAACUGGCAAGCUAGAGUAUGGUAGAGGGUGGUGGAAUUUCCUGUGUAGCGGUGAAAUGCGUAGAUAUAGGAAGGAACACCAGUGGCGAAGGCGACCACCUGGACUGAUACUGACACUGAGGUGCGAAAGCGUGGGGAGCAAACAGGAUUAGAUACCCCGGUAGUCCCUGUCUCUUAUAC